CACCAAUCAAGCCUCGCUUGGUGUUGGGCGAUGCGCACGUCGCACGCCUCAAAUGCCCCGGCCGAGCAGUCUCUCACCCGGCGUCGUGGAAACAUACCGCUACGGAGACGAGACCUGCCCGUGCCGCAGAAUAACCUAUUUUCUUAA
rnacentral:misc_RNA from 1 species